CGUGAGUAACCUGCCUUGGAGUGGGGAAUAACAGAUGGAAACAUCUGCUAAUACCGCAUAAUACGUCUGUGUCGCAUGGCACUGGACGUCAAAGAUUUAUCGCUCUGAGAUGGACUCGCGUCUGAUUAGCUGGUUGGCGGGGUAACGGCCCACCAAGGCGACGAUCAGUAGCCGGACUGAGAGGUUGGCCGGCCACAUUGGGACUGAGACACGGCCCAGACUCCUACGGAAGGCAGCAG
rnacentral:rRNA from 1 species